rnacentral:piRNA from 1 species
UCCCAUCAGGCAAACAGAGACAUCUGCCUC